GGUUCAUAGUGUAGUGGUGAGCAUGUCUGCUUUACACGCAGAAGGUCCUGGGUUCGCGCCCCAGUGGAGCCA
rfam:Pteropus alecto contig48267, whole genome shotgun sequence.